AAUUUUUAUAGUUUAAAGAAUUUAUUUUAAAUUUAUUUUACAUGUAAAUUUUGGUAUAUAAUAUUAUUUAUUUAAAUAAUAAUUAAUUAUUUAUACAGUAAUUAAUAUUAAAAAUUUAAGAAAUUAAGAUUUAGUAAUAGUUAAAUUAAAAACUAAUUUUGUGCCAGCAGUUGCGGUUAAACAAAAUUUAAAAUGAAUUUUAUUAGUAAAAUUAAUUAAUAAUUAUUUUAUUUAAAAUUAAAUGUAAAAUUAUAAGGUGAAAUUUUAAUUUUAUAAAAAUUUAUAAGGGAAUUAUGAAAUUGAUAAAUUAUAUGAAAAACUAGGAUUAGAUACCCUAUUAUUAAUAAAUUAAAAAAUAAUACUAAAAUAGUAUUUAAUUAUUUAUUGAAAUUUAAAUAAUUUGGCGGUAUUUUAGUUCAUUUAGAGGAAUCUGUUUAAUAAUUGAUAAUCCACGAAUAAAUUUACUUAAUUUAUAAUUUUGUAUAUCGUUGUUAAAAAAAUAUUUUAUAAUAAAAAUAAUAUUUUAAAAUUUAAAAUUAAAAUUAAAUCAGAUCAAGAUGCAGAUAAUAAUUAAGAAUAUAAUGGAUUACAAUAAAUUUAUUUAAAUAGAAAUUAAUAUGAAAAAAUUAAUUGAAAGUGGAUUUAAAUGUAAUUUUUUUUAGUUUAUAAAAAUGAUUAAAAAUUAAAAUAUGUACAUAUUGCCCGUCGCUUUCAUAUAUAAAUUGAAAUAAGUCGUAACAAAGUAGAGGUACUGGAAAGUGUUUCUAGAAAGA
rnacentral:ncRNA from 1 species